AUGGAUCAGAAUGGUUUCUCCAUCUCUGCAUUGACCAGCUCUAAAGAUUGCUCUAUUCCCUGGGUCGUUCCUAUUCAGGUAAAUCUAAGUUUAUUGGUAAAGGAUUGUAGAACCAGUACCUCAUCGGCACACACUCAUGGCUUCUGCGUUUUUCAGGGGGGUGCAGUAUCAGACGCUUCGGUGAAUCAAGUAGCAGAAUCCCAGUUCAGCGAACCUGACGCUUCAGUUGUUUCUUCGCUUUCAGAGAAGGUAAGCAACCUGAAAUCUAAUUCAUUUGAUCAGAUUUGCACCCAUGCUCACUUAUUAUCAUUCCACCUUAUGAUAUGA
rnacentral:rRNA from 1 species